AACGCGAAGAACCUUACCUGGGCUCGAAGCGCAGUGGACCGGGGUAGAAAUAUCCCUUCCCCUUAAAAGGCUGCUGCGGAGGUGCUGCAUGGCUGUCGUCAGCUCGUGUCGUGAGAUGUUGGGUUAAGUCCCGCAACGAGCGCAACCCUUAUCCCUAGUUGCCAUCGGGUCAAGCCGGGCACUCUAGUGAAACUGCCUCGGAUAACGAGGAGGAAGGUGGGGAUGACGUCAAGUCCUCAUGGCCUUUAUGUCCAGGGCUACACACGUGCUACAAUGGUCGGUACAAACCGUCGCAAACCCGCGAGGGGGAGCUAAUCGGAAAAAGCCGGCCUCAGUUCGGAUUGGAGUCUGCAACUCGACUCCAUGAAGCUGGAAUCGCUAGUAAUCGCGGAUCAGAACGCCGCGGUGAAUACGUUCCCGGGCCUUGUA
rnacentral:rRNA from 1 species